GGGAAGUUAAAAAUCGUAACAAGGUUUCCGUAGGUGAACCUGCGGAAGGAUCAUUGUCGAUGCCUUACAAGCAGACCAACACGUGAAUCAGUUUGAACACAUAGGGUUGGUUUGAGGUGUUCAACACCUCGGCUUGCCUCUGGUUCGGAGGAGGACGAUGUUGUGCGUUCUCCUUUGUGCCAAAACACAAACCCCGGCGCUGAAUGCGUCAAGGAAUUUAAAAUUUGCUCUGAGCUCACCUGCAUGGCACCGRAGACGGUUUUCGUGCGGGUUGUGUUCUGACACAUAAUAUAGAAUGACUCUCGGCAACGGAUAUCUAGGCUCUUGCAUCGAUGAAGAACGUAGCGAAAUGCGAUACUUGGUGUGAAUUGCAGAAUCCCGUGAACCAUCGAGUCUUUGAACGCAAGUUGCGCCCGAUGCCAUUAGGUUGAGGGCACGUCUGCCUGGGCGUCACAUAUCGAAGCCUCUCGCCAAUUUCCUAUAUUGAUAGGGGUAUUGUGCAGGGCGAAUGUUGGCCUCCCGUGAGCUCUAUUGCCUCAUGGUUGGUUGAAAAUCGAGACCUUGGUAGGGUGUGCCAUGAUAGGUGGUGGCUGUGUUACGCACGAGACCAAGUAAGUCAUGUGCUGCUCUAUUGAAUUUAGGCCUCUUUUACCCACAUGCGUUUCGAAACGCUCGUGAUGAGACCUCAGGUCAGGCGGGGCUACCCGCUGAAUUUAAGCAUAUCAAUAGCCGGAAGGAAA
rnacentral:rRNA from 1 species